CAGCGAGAGGCUGCUGGCUUAGAGAGGCAAAACGCACAGCUGGGCGAGGAGCACCGUGCACAGAGCAGGCUGGAAGGCAGCACGGGAAGCAGAGCAGUGCUGGUGGCAGCGGCGGCACACAGCUCCCAAUGCCCGCAGCUCCGCGCUGCUGCAAGCUUGCUACAGGGAAAGGGGUAAAGGAGAGGCAGGGAUGGGAAAUCAAACUAUCCUGCAGAAUUCGGGGCUGUUCCAACCUAACAAAGCAGCUGGGUGACCCCGAGGAGCAGCAGAAAGCACCCGGAGCCCCUCCGCCUCUGCUGCAGCACGCGCCUCCUGCAUCCAUCCCAAGGCAGCCCGCAGUAACGCAGCAGAAAGACAAGUGUCAUGCUGAAUUGCAUUCUCCUCGCACACAACAGCCGAGCGGCAGCACCUAACAUGCAUGGCUCAGCCCUGCCGCCACGCCACGCCGGAAUGGAGAGCCUUAAAAUAAGAUUUGUCUCCUUGCUUUAAAAAGGAAAAGCAGUCGGGAUGAUGUCAUUAACCCUUUGAGGGCAGUGCGUCUCUGCAGCUCCGGAGCUUCUGGAGGAAUUUUAGCAUCAGGGAACGACGCUGCCAAAAAGUUCUGGCGAAGGAAAAUGUUUCUACAUUAAACUUUUAGUGCUCUCUAAAGUGAAGCUACAAUUGCAUCUGAGCUUGAUCCUUAAUGGAAAGAUCAGCUUGCAGAUAAGGAAGGUGCACUCUGCGGGGCUGGAGGUGCCUGAAGGGCGGUCCCAGCUCCUCGCCCCACUGCAGUCCCACAGCACUGCGUGCACCCACAGCCCCUGAGCAGACACAUGAAGUUUGCACAGCGGAGCCAAUGCCAGCCUUCCAUAAAAUCACAGAGGUCAGAAAAUCCCCCACAGACCCCCAAGCCCACUUCCCAACCCACCGCAUCACCCCCGGUCAGCCUAUGCAGUGCUGACCAUUCCUUCUGAGGAGCACUGCUCCCUGACAGCCAACCCGAGCCUCCCCUGGCACACCACGGGCCAUCACCUCUCAUCCCAUCGCUGUCACAUGGGAGCAGAGGCCGGCCCCAACUCACCACGACCUCCUUCCAGGAGCUGUAGGAUAGAUGAGGUCUCCCCUGAAGCCCAUCUCCUCCACACUGACUCAGCCCAGAUCCUUCAGCCGCUCCCCACAGCGCUGUGCUCCGACCCAUCGCAGCCCCUGUCCACCUCUGGACACAUUUGGGGCCCCAGUGUGUUUCUGGCAGCAAGGGGCCCAGCACCGAACACAGCACUGCAGGUGCACAGCAACGAUCACCUCCUGCUGUCUGCACUUCUUCUGACACCAGUCAGGAUGCUGCUGGCUCCUCGGCCACCCUGGCACACUGCUGGCUCAUGUUCAUGUGAUGCUGCAGAUGGAACUGAGCCUAAUGCCAACGAGCACACGUCAGCCCAUCAACAGGACGUACAAUUAAUGAUUACGGAUAAAUAAUCCAGCCGAUCACAAGUCGAUUCCAAAUCCCUAUUUGGUUUAUUGGUUGUUUUUUCUACGUGUGGCCACAAGCACCAACAAAUCCUUCUUUUCUUUGAUGCACAAGCAUAAAGCUAUCUGUGGCUGUUACAGGAGGAGGAUCCCCGGCCCCACAGGCCAGCAGCCUCACAUGCUGAGCCCAGCGCUGUGCUGGGCAGUGCGGGACGUUGCAUACAGAUGAAGUGAGUUUUAAAGGACAAAAAGCCCUGGCAGCAGCUCCUGGGCCAAAUUCUCACGUGCCAAACUUCCCAACUGCUGCAGCGCAGCUCGACGGCAUUUCAAAAGAAUUCCUGCUCUGUUUUGAAUACUGCUGACAAUCUUCUCUGUCAAAAUUUGUAAUUUAAAUCCCUCGGAGGCGAGAAGCACACUGCUCCUCGGGGCAUUCCCUGCUCCCCAUAUACAACACACUGCAUCCCACAGCCCAUCCCCUG